GACGAACGCUGGCGGCGUGCCUAAUACAUGCAAGUCGAACGCAGUGGGGACGGGUGAGUAACACGUGGGUAACCUCCCAUCAGAGGGGAUAACACUUGGAAACAGGUGCUAAACCGAUAUUGAUGGAUGGACCCACGGUGCAUUAGCUAGUUGGUGAGGUAACGGCUCACCAAGGCCAAGAAGAAUAGCCGACAUGAGAGGGUGAUCGGCCAAACUGGGAGUGAGACACGGCGCAGACUCCUACGGGAGGCAGCAGGAGGGAAUCUUCGGCAAUGGACGAAAGUCUGAUGGAGCAAAGCCGCGUGUAUGAAGAAGGCUUUCGGGUUGUAAAGUACUUUAGCUAGGGAGGCGGUACUUGACGAAAAAGCAACGGCUAACUACGUGCCAGCAGCCGCGGUAAUAC
rnacentral:rRNA from 1 species